rnacentral:rRNA from 1 species
CCUACGGGAGGCAGCAGUGGGGGAUAUUGCACAAUGGGGGGAACCCUGAUGCAGCGACGCCGCGUGGGUGAAGGAGUGUUUCGGCGCGUAAAGCUCUAUCGGCAGGGAAGACGCUGACGGUACCUGACCAAGAAGCCCCGGCUAACUACGUGCCAGCAGCCGCGGUAAUACGUAGGGGGCAAGCGUUAUCCGGAUUUACUGGGUGUAAAGGGGGCGCAGACGGCAAUGCAAGCCAGGAGUGAAAGCCCGGGGCCCAAACCCGGGACUGCACUUGAACCUGCCUGGCUGGAGGACAGGAGAGGCAGGCGGAAUUCCUAGGGUAGCGGUGAAAUGCGUAGAUAUUAGGAGGAACACCAGUGGCGAAGGCGGCCGGCUGGACUGUAACUGACGUUGAGGCCCGAAAGCGUGGGGAGCAAACAGGAUUAGAUACCCGAGUAGUC